AACACACAAUUAGUUGUGUUGCCAUGGGAGCUUGACUAACAGGUCCCUGAGGCUAAACUGGCCUGGGCUGGCCCAGGCUUAGCCCAUUCCAACCAUCCAGGCACCUCCUUGCAUCGGUCAGUCCUAGGAGUCAGAUAAGAGCCAAACCCUGCUCCAGAAUGGUCAGCAUGCAAGAAGGCGGGCUUGUCCACACUUGCUUCUGCUGCUGAGGACCGUGGUGGGUUUUGAGAUAGCCUCAUCGUGCUGUUACUGGAAGGAAGAGGGAUUGGUUCAGAGAUGAGCAUGUGACCUACAUCAGCCUCGUGAGAGUCAGCCCUGGAACUUCAGCAGGAAGCAUCGGAAAGAGGUUCUCCCUUACUGGUCGCCCUUCUUGCAGCCGGGAGAUGGCCUGCCCGAGGACGAAGCUAACAUGGAGGAAAACAGCCAAGAGAUGGGGAGGAAGAGCGUUGCCUGAUGAUAUCACUGAGCCCCUUAUCUGGCUAGGCUGAAAGCCAAAUGCACCCUUGAACUUCUCAAUUAUAAGAGCAAAUAAAUGAUCUUUUUAUGCUUAA